UGGGGAAUAUUGCACAAUGGAGGGAACUCUGAUGCAGCGACGCCGCGCGAGUGAUGAAGGAAUUCGUUUCGUAAAACUCUGUUCUAUGGGAAGAAAAGGACUGUACCAUAGGAGAAAGCUCCGGCUAAAUACGUGCCAGCAGCCGCGGUAAUACGUAUGGAGCGAGCGUUGUCCGGAAUUAUUGGGCGUAAAGGGUGCGCAGGCGGCUUUACAAGUUGGAUGUGAAAUAUUGUGGCUCAACCACAAACGUGCAUCCAAAACUGCAAAGCUUGAGUUAAGGAGAGGUAAGUGGAAUUCCUGGUGUAGCGGUGCGAUGCGUAGAUAUCAGGAGGAAUACCGGUGGCGAAGGCGACUUACUAGACAUAAACUGACGCUCAGGCACGAAAGCGUGGAGAGCAAACAGG
rnacentral:rRNA from 1 species